AGGAACUGAACUCAGUCAGACCCAUGGGAAGAGAAAUGCACUCUUAACCGGGGUCAGAGGCUAGGGUCCCUGGAGAAAGCAUCUGGGAAGACACUCAAGAAAAUCAUGCUUGGAUCUGAAAUGGGGGUCCCACUCUGCCUCCAGAGCCAGCUCCUCAGGGAGCUCAAACUGCACGUGACAACUGACUAACACGUAUCACUGUCUUCUGUUACAGAGGGACAGAAAGGCCACAGAAAAGUAAGAACGAGUUUCUGCUUCAUAGCAGGAAGAGGUAGAGGAACUCUGAGCCCCAGCCUCUGGGCACACUCACGGUGGCAUUCCCGCUACCAUUUCAGUGACAUCAGUGUCACUCACGCAGGGAUGAUGUACAGUGGCCAGGACACCUCGUGUUUCGAGGCUCCAAGGGGAGAAGAUGUUGAGAAGGUUUUGGUUCUGUCUCCUUCUUUGCUCUUAAAGUAAACAAACAAACAAACAAAUAAUCAACCCGUUUGGUAUUUUUAAGAGGAGAGGAAGAGGAUCACUUGGAUUAGCUAGUCCUGACCUACUCCACAGGAGGCAGGAUGUGCAUUAGGGUUGCCGGAAUCUAGGGGAAAGGUACAAGGAGAAGAGGAGGAAGAGAAAGAGGCAAAAAUAUGAUUGCCUCAUAUUCUCCCAGGAUCCGUGAGAAGUGGAAAUGGACGACAAGAUCAACGUGGCCCGCAGGUUUUCUGUUUGAGUGAGCCAAGGUGCUCAGGUCACAGAUUUGAGAACAUGGAAAAUAGGAAAGUAUGGGGGGAAAAGAAGGGCUUGGACAAUCAUCCUUGAGCAUGUAGGGUGUCAUUUCCACCAGCUUUGAAUUCAGCCAUAUAGGUGACAUCACAGCGUCAUGCUACCCCCCUGGGGCAAAGCACUCUCUUCAUUUGUGCAAAUUUUGAAAAGGAGAAGAAAACUGGAUUAAAGUUCAAAGAGACCUUGCGUUAGAGGUCUCCUGAAUGGAGUGGAGAUAUUUCAAGGGAUGAUUAGCUAUUUUCCCUUUUAGAGUUUCUUCCUCUUCCUGGAAUUAAUAUCUAAUGUAUUGACACCAAGGGACACAUCUCACUGUCCCUAUAAAAAGUCCUCAGUGUCCGUGCCUCUGCAUACAUCCUCAGUCUGCUAACCAUAGACUAACAUCUUCUGACACAGCGGCCAUCUUGACAGCUAUUAGAGUAAUCAGUUAUUCCUCCUGGGUUGGCAACUCGAAGGAACUUGUAGUCCCCACCAAGGGACAACAAAGGGAGGUGGCUCGUGGGGUUUAAGCUGCUAGAAUCCACAUAAACCUGGGUGUGGUGAUGCAUGGCUCUAAUCCCUAUUUACAGCCACUUAUCCUGUGGUGAGCCCUGUCUCAAACAAGGCAGAAAAUGGUGGCUGACACCAGAGGUUGUCCUCUGAUCUCCACACACACUUAUCAUGGCAUGCACGAACACACACACACACACACACACACAC
ensembl:lncRNA